rnacentral:rRNA from 1 species
UUCUAGCGAGACGAAAUCCGCCCGUACCGUAAACCGACACAGGUAGGCGGGGAGAGAAUCCUAAGGUGCGCGGGAAAACCCUCGUUAAGGAACUCGGCAAAUUGCAUCCGUAACUUCGGGAGAAGGAUGACCCUGAGUAGGCGAAAGGGAGAAACCCCCGGAACAGAAAAGGGUGGCAGAAAAGAGGCCCAAGCAACUGUUUACCAAAAACACAGGUGCCUGCGAAAGCGAAAGCUGAAGUAUAGGUGCUGACGCCUGCCCGGUGCUGGAAGGUUAAGGAGAGAGGUCAGCGAAAGCGAAGCUUUGAACUGAAGCCCCAGUGAACGGCGGCCGUAACAAUAACGGUCCUAAGGUAGCGAAAUUCCUUGUCGGGUAAGUUCCGACCCGCAUGAAAGGCGUAAUGAUUUGGGCACUGUCUCAACGAGGGGCCCGGUGAAAUUGAAAUACCUGUGAAGAUGCAGGUUACCCGCGACUGGACAGAAAGACCCCAUGGAGCUUCACUGCAGCUUGAGAUUGAAUCCCGGUGACAUAUGCACAGGAUAGGUGGGAGGCUAAGAAGUAAUGCCUUUGGGUGUUACAGAGCCGAUGUUGGGAUACCACCCUUAUGUUGCUGAGAUUCUAACACGGAGACUAACAACCUCGUGGACCAUCUCAGGCAGGCGGUUUGACUGGGGCGGUCGCCUCCUAAAAUGUAACGGAGGCGCCCAAAGGUUCCCUCAGGCCGGACAGAAACCGGCCGAAGAGUGCAAAGGCAGAAGGGAGCUUGACUGCGAGACAGACAAGUCGAGCAGAGACGAAAGUCGGGCUUAGUGAUCCGGUGGUACUGAGUGGAAAGGCCAUCGCUCAACGGAUAAAAGCUACCCUGGGGAUAACAGGCUAAUCUCUCCCAAGAGUUCAUAUCGACGGGGAGGUUUGGCACCUCGAUGUCGGCUCAUCACAUCCUGAGCUGGAGUAGGUUCCAAGGGUUGGGCUGUUCGCCCAUUAAAGUGGUACGCGAGCUGGGUUCAAAACGUCGUGAGACAGUUUGGUUCAUAUCCAUCGCGGGCGCAAGAAGUUUGAGGGAGGCUGCUCCUAGUACGAGAGGACCGGAGUGGACGGAUCAACGGUGUACCAGUUGUCACGCCAGUGGCACGGCUGGAAAGCCGCAUCCGGAAAGGAUAAACGCUGAAAGCAUCUAAGCGUGAAGCCCGUCCCGAGAUGAGACUUCUCAUCAGCAAUGAGUAAGACCCCUUAAAGACGAUGAGGUUGAUAGGCUGUGAGUGGAAGUGGCGCAAGUCAUGGAGCGACGCAGUACUAAUAGGUCGAGGUCUUAGCGAA